rnacentral:rRNA from 1 species
GAUGAACGCUGGCGGCGUGCCUAAUACAUGCAAGUCGAGCGAACGGACGAGAAGCUUGCUUCUCUGAUGUUAGCGGCGGACGGGUGAGUAACACGUGGAUAACCUACCUAUAAGACUGGGAUAACUUCGGGAAACCGGAGCUAAUACCGGAUAAUAUUUUGAACCGCAUGGUUCAAAAGUGAAAGACGGUCUUGCUGUCACUUAUAGAUGGAUCCGCGCUGCAUUAGCUAGUUGGUAAGGUAACGGCUUACCAAGGCAACGAUGCAUAGCCGACCUGAGAUGGUGAUCGGCCGCACUGGAACUGAGACACGGUCCAGACUCCUACGGGAGGCAGCAGUAGGGAAUCUUCCGCAAUGGGCGAAAGCCUGACGGAGCAACGCCGCGUGAGUGAUGAAGGUCUUCGGAUCGUAAAACUCUGUUAUUAGGGAAGAACAUAUGUGUAAGUAACUGUGCACAUCUUGACGGUACCUAAUCAGAAAGCCACGGCUAACUACGUG